AAUAUGCCACAAGAUGGAGGAUUAGCUACCCAGAAUGAAUGUUGUUAGAAAUUUGUUUCAAACCACCUUUUUCAUACCAAUGUAAACCGCAAAAGCCUGUUUGCGUCUUCAACUGAGUCAGAUGCCCAUUGGUCGCUCUUGUACAGUGAAGGAGACAACCACCAUAGUAUUUUUGCAUGGAGCAUGGAUGCUAACCAGACAGAAGAGACCAUUUACCGAGUCAUAAAAAACUUGCUGUCAUUGAUGAAGUGAUUGUUGACAAUAAAACUAAGCAGCUUCUCACUUGAAGCUAUUAAAAAAACCUGCCUCUCUCAAGAAAAACAAAACAAAACAAUUUGAAGCAUGAAACUGCUUGCAAAGGUUGUUGCAGGAAAAUCUUUUGAAAAAUUUAGGAGAAGCAAAAUUUUUCUCUUUCUUUGAACGAAACAAUUGAAUGUACAGACAUGACUCAGCUUAAAUGUAAUGCCAAAAUGCAGUGAAUUUAUUUUUAUAUGUAUUGGACAUAUAUAAAAACAGAACACAACGAGUGUUUUUAGCAUGCAUGCCUAAUCAACCAUAUUUUCAAAAACCUCCACCUUGAUAGAAAGUUGAUCAGUUUUUCAGUCAAAUAGACAGCCAUUUAAACAGCCCUGUUAGUACAAGGAACAUUUUCCCUGACUUGGUUUGUCUAGUGCAAGCUGCUGCAUGGUGUGUUGUUGUGUU